UACGUAGGUGGCAAGCGUUGUCCGGAAUUACUGGGUGUAAAGGGAGCGUAGGCGGGAAUGCAAGUUGAAUGUCUAAACUAUGGGCUCAACCCAUAGUUGCGUUCAAAACUGCAUUUCUUGAGUGGAGUAGAGGCAGGCGGAAUUCCUAGUGUAGCGGUGAAAUGCGUAGAUAUUAGGAGGAACACCAGUGGCGAAGGCGGCCUGCUGGGCUCUAACUGACGCUGAGGCUCGAAAGCGUGGGUAGCAAACAGG
rnacentral:rRNA from 1 species